UACGGAGGGUGCGAGCGUUGUCCGGAAUUACUGGGCGUAAAGCGCGCGUAGGCGGCUUUGCAAGUCGGGUGUGAAAUCCCCAGGCUUAACCUGGGAACUGCAUUCGAGACUGCAUUGCUAGAGUAUGGGAGAGGGAAGUGGAAUUUCCGGUGUAGCGGUGAAAUGCGUAGAUAUCGGAAGGAACAUCAGUGGCUAAAGCGACUUCCUGGACCAAUACUGACGCUCAUGCGCGAAAGCGUGGGGAGCAAACAGG
rnacentral:rRNA from 1 species